UACGGGGGGAGCAAGCGUUGUUCGGAUUUACUGGGCGUAAAGGGCGCGUAGGCGGUCAGCACAAGUCAGUUGUGAAAUCUCCGGGCUUAACUCGGAAAGGUCAACUGUUACUGUGCGACUAGAGUGCAGAAGGGGCAACUGGAAUUCUCGGUGUAGCGGUGAAAUGCGUAGAUAUCGAGAGGAACACCUGCGGCGAAGGCGGGUUGCUGGGCUGACACUGACGCUCAUGCACGAAAGCGUGGGGAGCAAACAGG
rnacentral:rRNA from 1 species